AUAUUUUUAAUUUUUUUUGUAAAUGUAAGCUAUUUAAUUGCACAUAAUUAAUUAAAAAAUUAAUAUAUUAUAUAUAUUAUAUAUUAUACAGUACAAUUUUCAAAUGAGGAAGACCUAACCCUUCGGUUCAAACCUAACUUUCGGGUAUUAGAGCUGCUGAUAUAUACCGCUGCGCGCAAUCACAAUAUACCGUUUUGUUUAGCAACCCUCUUAAAGGUAAAUUUCAGUACCCCAGGAGGUAUUUGACCGCUGCGCUCAAUCACAACCCACCCCCGGGACCGACUCCACGAGCUUCAGUAUGACGCGACUACGCUCUACGACAAGGGCGCCCCCAGGGAGGGGCCAGGUGGGGCCAUCGCCCCCCCUGAGAAUUUGGCGAAAGCGUGUAAAAAAUAUUUAGCUCUCUCUUACUUUAUAUUAUAAAAUAAAUUGCAUAUUAAUCAUAAUCGCUCACGAGAUAUGCCAGUUUAAAUGUAUUUUUUCUCAAUCCCUUAUCCCUUCUGACUGAGACGCAUAUGUUUGGAUGGAACCGCAUCGUUUUCGGUGCGCAUGCCGCAUGCACUGAUGAUGUCCGGUCUAGGCUUAUCCAGUUGAGAAAUGAAAUAGGUGGGCUGAACGGCCGAUCUGAUACGUCUAGUAGUACGGUAGUGCUCACAAUUUAUAUACUGUUAUUCAUAGAACUUAUAUUAACGUGUUAAAAGUGUUUUUUGUGCAACGUGUAAGUAUUAUAUAAUAUACUUUAUUUCUCACUUGACCUUAAAUAAAAUAGGCUUAUUUUUACGAGGUAGUUAUCUAUUGUGUGUAAAGGUAAAAAAUACUUUUUUAUGAAUUAAAAUAACAUCAUUUGCGUCUAUGAAGUACAAUUACAAUAUUUAUUUCAAAAAUUGUGCUUGAAGUAAUAACAUUUUUUAUAAGUACCCUUCCUACUUUAAGAAAAUAAGUUAUUCCUGUAUCGCAGUUGAGAUAUUCAACUGUGCAAGGUAGGUAUUUUAAUCUACAAAUUUUAAUUAACUUAGAUGAAUUUUUUACUUCUCUAAAAGGUUUUAAAAAUAUUUUUCAAUGCAACUAAAUUAUCCAUUUGGUCUUAUUCUGUCCAUUUAUCGGCCUACUCCCCGGUUAAAUGCGUUAAUUUAUUUGACACCUAACACUUAGCUGAUUGAAUGCAUCAAUUUAAUUAGCCUACUGUAUUUGUAGAAAAAUGGACAUAAGGAAGUUCUUUAACAAGCCAAACAAGCGGCUGAAAAUUGAUGAUGGAUCUGACAUACCGAACAGUACCGAAAACAGUAGUAUAGUAUGCAGUCAAAAUGAUUUAGCUGUAGCAGGGCCAUCUAGCUUGGAGUCAGCUGUAUCCGCCUCUCAAAGAGAAACUAACGUUGUAACGGCCACCGCAUCGGAUAAUUUUGCGAUUGUUGAAGACAGUUUAAAUUUGGAUGUUGGGAACUACCUUGAUACUAAUAAAAUUUGUAGCUUGAACGAUCGCUUGAAAUUUACUUUGUUAACAAACCCAUGGAAGCCAGAUAAAUGUUACAAUUUCAAGUAUGAUAUUGACGAUGGCAAACGACCAUUUAUCCAUGAAUGGUUAAAUACGUACCCCUGGUUAGCUUAUUCAAAAGAAGUUAAAGGUGGGCUAUGCAAGUUGUGUGUACUGUUUAGGCCCCGCGUAACCCAUGGUAGUUAUCAAAGCGGCUUUAUAAAUCGCCCAUUCACCAAUUUCAGAAAGUUUCAUGAAAAUGCGAAAUCGCAUAUGAACUCUGAAUGGCACAGACAAGCAUCUGAAAACUCAAGUAACUUUAUAUCUGUCAUGAAAAAUGAAAAGAAAAAUGUUGAAUGUCUUGCAAAUUAUCGUUUGGCCAAGCAAAUUGGCAAAUUGGUCACAGACCAAAUCACUCUACCCAGACUAUCAACGAAUACUAUAGAAAGUCCAUUUUCUUGCCUUAUUUGGAUUCUUUGGUUCAAUCGUUGAAAGAUAGGUUUUCAGAUAGAAACAAACCAUCAUUUGAAAUUUUCAAUCUGCACCCUAAAAUCAUGAAAGAUCUUUCUAAGGAAGAUUUUGAAAAGUCUAUUAACAAUAUAAACAGCACGUAUUGUGAAUUGUUAGACAACUUUAAGGAGCAAUCAAUUCUGUGGUUCGACCUUUGGAAAAACACGGAGAUAGAUGCCAAAGCCUUGGAAAAACUGAACUUAAUAGAGGUUCUUGAGCAUGAGCAUGCCUGCUUUUUGCGUCAGUAGCAAAAGCCAUCCAAAUAGCUCUUUGUCUGCCACCAACAACUUGCACCAUCGAGCGAUCAUUCAGCACUCUCAAACGUGUGAAGACCUGGAUAAGGAAUACGAUGUCGAACAAUCGUCUAAGUGGGCUAUGCCUGUUAUCUGUACACAGAAGAAAAAUAAAAGAAAAUAAAGAAAACUUCAUGCAGAAAGUAAUUGAUUUAUUUGCGAUGGACACCAGAAGAAUUCAAUUAUUAUUUAAGUAACAUUUUACUGACACUAACCGUGUUGCGUUUUAAACAGCAAAACAAUUUUUCUUGUA
rnacentral:misc_RNA from 1 species